UACGUAGGGACCAAGCGUUGUCCGGAAUCAUUGGGCGUAAAGCGCACGUAGGCGGUCUGUUAUGUCGGAUGUGAAAGCCCUUGGCUUAACUGAGGAAGUGCAUCCGAAACUGGCAGGCUAGAGUACUAAAGAGGGUCGCGGAAUUCCCGGUGUAGAGGUGAAAUUCGUAGAUAUCGGGAGGAACACCGGUGGCGAAGGCGGCGACCUGGGUAGAUACUGACGCUGAGGUGCGAAAGCGUGGGGAGCAAACAGG
rnacentral:rRNA from 1 species